GAACAUUUUCUUAAACCGGUUUAGCAUCAAAUCAAGUAGGACCUACUCCGGUGACCUCAGACGAACAUUCGUGUAAAAAAUGGAUUGAAAUGGACAAUCAUAAAAUUUUGGGCUAUGGACUUAUUGAAGACAACUGUAUGGAGAUAAACAGAAACACAGAGGUACUAUACAUUCUGAUGGAAAAGACAACAAAAGCAUCUCCCAUCAUUUUGGCGUGGCUCAGAUCAAGAGGAGAAAUUUAAAAAAGGUGAUGGUUGGGCACACACAAGAAGACAUAGAUCACAGGCGUCUAGCCAUAUGAGUAGACAGGAGUUUCACAUUCUGCCAGACUUACUUCCUCAGACGAG